rnacentral:rRNA from 1 species
UACGUAGGGGGCAAGCGUUGUCCGGAUUUAUUGGGCGUAAGGAGCGUGUAGGCGGCCUUACAGGUCAGCUGUGAAAACUCGAGGCUCAACCUCGAGACGUCGGUUGAAACCGUAUGGCUAGAGUCCGGAAGAGGAGAGUGGAAUUCCCGGUGUAGCGGUGAAAUGCGCAGAUAUCGGGAAGAACACCCGUGGCGAAGGCGGCUCUCUGGGACGGUACUGACGCUGAGACGCGAAAGCGUGGGGAGCGAACAGG